AUGUUUGGGUGGCGUGCGUCGCAUGAUAGAUUGCCAACGAGAAGUCAAUUAUCACGGAGGGGGAUUAUUCAUAAUCAACUUGAGAGGGUAUGUGUGUUCUGCUUUAGAUAUGAAGAAGAGAUGGAUCAUGUGUUGAUUAAUUGUAUAACUACUAGACUGGUGUGGGAGAAGGUUAAAAUAUGGUUAGAUGUGGCUCAUGAUUGUGGGGAGGAUGUCUGCUCAAGUUUUCUGAACUCAGCGCUAUCCUUGAUAUGGAAAGUCUCGGAAAAAAGAGGGCAGGAAUCGUUCGGAUGGCAGUCUCGUGGUAUUUAUGAAAUUCAAGGAAUGAAAUAA